UACGUAGGGGGCAAGCGUUGUCCGGAUUCAUUGGGCGUAAAGAGCGUGUAGGCGGCCAGGUAGGUCGGUUGUGAAAACUGGAGGCUCAACCUUCAGAGGUCGACCGAAACCAUCUGGCUAGAGUCCGGGAGAGGAGAGUGGAAUUCCUGGUGUAGCGGUGAAAUGUGUUGAUAUUGGAAGGAACGCCGGUGGCGAAAGCGACACACUGGACCUUGGCUGACGCUGAGGCACGAAAGCCAGGGGAGCAAACGGG
rnacentral:rRNA from 1 species